AAUUAUUAUUCUUUUAAUAGGUUAUUGUUUAUGUACAUGUAUUGCUACAAUGAUAUCAGAAUCAACAGAUGUAGGAACUAUUAGUGUUGCUAUUGCUGUACCUAUCACUGGUCUAUUAACUGGACUCAUUACUGCAAUAAUUACUAGUAUCAUUUGUUUAAUAAUGAGAAAAAAGGGAAGGACUAACAACUCUAA